UCUCCGUAGGUGAACCUGCGGAGGGAUCACUACAGGCUUGCAAAAGCUCUGAAACCACUGUUUAUCUACCUGAAUCUGCUUCGGCGAGCGGCCCCAGGGCGGGGCCGUAGCCGCAAGGCGCCCGCCGAAGACCCCUAAACUCUGUCGUCUUGAGAAUCUCUGAGUAUCAUAUUAAACAAAAAACAACUUUCAACAACGGAUCUCUUGGCUCUG
rnacentral:misc_RNA from 1 species